rnacentral:rRNA from 1 species
GAUGAACGCUGGCGGCGUGCCUAAUACAUGCAAGUCGAACGAAACUUCUUUAUCACCGAGUGCUUGCACUCACCGAUAAAGAGUCGAGUGGCGAACGGGUGAGUAACACGUGGGCAACCUGCCCAAAAGAGGGGGAUAACACUUGGAAACAGGUGCUAAUACCGCAUAACCAUAGUUACCGCAUGGUAACUAUGUAAAAGGUGGCUAUACUACCGCUUUUGGAUGGGCCCGCGGCGCAUUAGCUAGUUGGUAGGGUAAAGGCUUACCAAGGCAAUGAUGCGUAGCCGAAUUGAGAGGUUGAUCGGCCACAUUGGGACUGAGACACGGCCCAAACUCCUACGGGAGGCAGCAGUAGGGAAUCUUCCACAAUGGGCGAAAGCCUGAUGGAGCAACGCCGCGUGGGUGAAGAAGGUCUUCGGAUCGUAAAACCCUGUUGUUAGAGAAGAAAGUGCGUGAGAGUAACUGUUCACGUUUCGACGGUAUCUAACCAGAAAGCCACGGCUAACUACGUG